rnacentral:miRNA from 1 species
UGACAGAAGAGAGUGGGCAC